rnacentral:rRNA from 1 species
UACGUGCCAGCAGCCGCGGUAAUACGUAGGGUGCGAGCGUUGUCUGGAAUUACUGGGCGUAAAGAGCUUGUAGGCGGUCUGUCGCGUCGAUUGUGAAAACUUGCAGCUCAACUGCAAGCUUGCAGUCGAUACGGGCAGACUAGAGUACUGCAGGGGAGACUGGAAUUCCUGGUGUAGCGGUGAAAUGCGCAGAUAUCAGGAGGAACACCGGUGGCGAAGGCGGGUCUCUGGGCAGUAACUGACGCUGAGAAGCGAAAGCGUGGGUAGCGAACAGGAUUAGAUACCCUGGUAGUCCACGCCGUAAACGGUGGGCGCUAGGUGUGGGUUUCCUUCCACGGGAUCCGUGCCGUAGCUAACGCAUUAAGCGCCCCGCCUGGGGAGUACGGCCGCAAGGCUAAAACUCAAAGGAAUUGACGGGGGCCCGCACAAGCGGCGGAGCAUGUGGAUUAAUUCGAUGCAACGCGAAGAACCUUACCUGGGUUUGACAUACACCGGAAAGCCAUAGAGAUAUGGCCCCCCUUGUGGUCGGUGUACAGGUGGUGCAUGGCUGUCGUCAGCUCGUGUCGUGAGAUGUUGGGUUAAGUCCCGCAACGAGCGCAACCCUUAUCUUAUGUUGCCAGCGCGUAAUGGCGGGGACUCGUGAGAGACUGCCGGGGUCAACUCGGAGGAAGGUGGGGACGACGUCAAGUCAUCAUGCCCCUUAUGUCCAGGGCUUCACACAUGCUACAAUGGCCGGUACAGAGGGCUGCGAUACCGCGAGGUGGAGCGAAUCCCUUAAAGCCGGUCUCAGUUCGGAUCGGGGUCUGCAACUCGACCCCGUGAAGUUGGAGUCGCUAGUAAUCGCAGAUCAGCAACGCUGCGGUGAAUACGUUCCCGGGCCUUGUACACACCGCCCGUCACGUCAUGAAAGUCGGUAACACCCGAAGCCGGUGGCCUAACCCUUGUGGAGGGAGCCGUCGAAGGUGGGAUUGGCGAUGG